CUUGUACAAUCACAUGACAGUCAACAACGUGAUUCCUGCUGAAAUCAAUUAGCUAAGUGAAUUUACAAAGUCUGCGGUCGCUAGAAUGAAGGGACUAUGGAGAAUCCUAUAGUUUUUUCUUAGUUUGAAGGCUGUAGAUGUACAUUUCCUCACUACAGUUUUUUUGGUUUGAUCCAUGGAAUGACACUGUGUCCAUGCAUGAGCUGUAAUAGCAUGAAGAACAUCAAGUAAAGUAUAUGUUUAUAGGGUCCUGAUGGGAGCUCUUUUGUCCAGUCUGAGGUUGAGUAAAGUGCCGGCUGCGGUGGUGUGACAGAAGCGACUGUGUGAUUGAAGACGCUGGGGUUGGAGAGGCUGUUGGCAGCUAUAUUUCAGCGUGGAGAUGGAUGGACUUCAUGAUGCGAGUUUUGCGUCAGGACUCUGUUCGUCUCGGCUCCGGGCUGAUGGCGAAAUCCAGCACCUGUUGUGCGACACAUAUGUAGGACAACCUCUUCAUGGCCCCCAUGUGUUGAUCAGCAGUAAAGCUGGAUAUCUGUGGCAAUUGUUACGUGACAGUAUUAACGUGAUUGAUUCAAAGGCUGAACAGCAGGGCCUUCGUGUGAUAACAUCUGACAUGGUAAAAUAUAUGGCGGAAAUAACAGGCCCUUGAAUGUGUGUGCAAGAUGAAAGACUGUUAUAUAUAUGUUUAACUAAAUUAAAACAUUUAUAAAAAAAAUAAUAAAAAUGUAAAAUAAUUUUAAUCGAAUAUAUACAGUAAGUGGUGUUAAAUCAUAACCUGGACUGAUAUGUUUUUAAAAAAAAAAAGAAAAAAAAGAAUUGGAAGGCAUUUGGAAACCCAUUUCUGCAAAUAAAUGAAAAAAAAAAACAUACUUUGGUAAAUCAUAAUUAUGACAUCAUAUGUCAAAAUUAUGAUAUAUUAAGUCAUAUAAUGCGAGGAGCAGUCUAAAUUAUGAGAAACGGUAUAAAUUAUAAGACAAGUCACAAAUCUGACAUAAAAAAAUAAGAUGUAUUGUCAUAAUUAUGACUUAUCUCAUAAUUUUGACUUAUGUCAGUUUAGAAUUCUCAUAAUUUUGACUUUUUUAUGUCUUAAUUAUGCCUUUUCAUGUCAUAAU